UUUUUUUUUUUCUUUUUCAAUUUUUUUCCUCUUAUGUAAUUACUAUUUCUUCUUUCUUUAUCUUUUUUCACAAGAUAUUAAAUAUUUCUUCAAGUUAUUUAUACAUCAAAUUUAUUUUUCUUAAGAAAAAAAAUUUUAAUAUAAAAACACAAGUUAAAUAUUGAAUAUUAUCUACCCGCAAUAUCGUGCGGGUCACUGCACUAUAU
rnacentral:lncRNA from 1 species